GAUGAACGCUGGCGGCGUGCCUAAUACAUGCAAGUCGAGCGAACGGACGAGAAGCUUGCUUCUCUGAUGUUAGCGGCGGACGGGUGAGUAACACGUGGAUAACCUACCUAUAAGACUGGGAUAACUUCGGGAAACCGGAGCUAAUACCGGAUAAUAUUUUGAACCGCAUGGUUCAAAAGUGAAAGACGGUCUUGCUGUCACUUAUAGAUGGAUCCGCGCUGCAUUAGCUAGUUGGUAAGGUAACGGCUUACCAAGGCAACGAUGCAUAGCCGACCUGAGAGGGUGAUCUGCCACACUGGAACUGAGACACGGUCCAGACUCCUACGGGAGGCAGCAGUAGGGAAUCUUCCGCAAUGGGCGAAAGCCUGACGGAGCAACGCCGCGUGAGUGAUGAAGGUCUUCGGAUCGUAAAACUCUGUUAUUAGGGAAGAACAUAUGUGUAAUUAACUGUGCACAUCUUGACGGUACCUAAUCAGAAAGCCACGGCUAACUACGUG
rnacentral:rRNA from 1 species